CCCUUUGUAUACCACGGCCGCGGGAAUUCGAUUCCUUUCGUGGGGGACGAAAAGGCGGAUCCGAAUACGGUCUGCUAUUGACGUGAACCCAAGAAGAAGCACCGGCUAACUCCGUGCCAGCAGCCGCGGUAAUACGGAGGGUGCGAGCGUUAAUCGGAAUUACUGGGCGUAAAGGGCGCGUAGGCGGUGGGUUACGUCUGCCGUGAAAUCCCCGGGCUCAACCUGGGAAUGGCGGUGGAAACGGGCUGACUGGAGUAUGGGAGAGGGGGGUAGAAUUCCAGGUGUAGCGGUGAAAUGCGUAGAGAUCUGGAGGAAUACCGGUGGCGAAGGCGGCCCCCUGGACAAAGACUGACGCUCAGGUGCGAAAGCGUGGGGAGCAAACAGGAUUAGAUACCCUGGUAGUCCACGCCGUAAACGAUGUCGACUUGGAGGUUGUGCCCUUGAGGCGUGGCUUCCGGAGCUAACGCGUUAAGUCGACCGCCUGGGGAGUAUGGCCGCAAGGUUAAAACUCAAAGGAAUUGACGG
rnacentral:rRNA from 1 species